AGAGUUAAACAGUACGUGAAAUUGUUGAAAGGGAAACGAUUGAAGUCAGUCAUGCUUGCAGGGAAUCAACAUGGUGGUUUUCUUCCUUGUGCACUUCCUUGUCUGGCAGGUUAGCAUUAAUUUUGAUUGUCAUUAAAGAACCGGGGGAAUGUGGCUUCUUCGGGAGUGUUAUAGACCUUGGUAGAUGUGACGAUUGAGAUUGAGGAUUGCAGCGAAUGCUUCUUGGCUAGUCACUUGGCUUCUGACGGUCACCUUGCUUUCGAUAGCUUGCUAACGUUGGUGAGAUUUGAUUGUCUAGAUGUUAAUGUGAUCAUAAAUUCGCUAAGGAUGCUGACGUAAUGGCUUUAAACGA
rnacentral:misc_RNA from 1 species